CGGAGGGUGCAAGCGUUAUCCGGAUUUACUGGGUUUAAAGGGUGCGUAGGUGGGCGAGAAAGUCAGUGGUGAAAUCUCCGGGCUUAACCCGGAAACUGCCAUUGAUACUAUUUGUCUUGAAUACUUUGGAGGUAAGCGGAAUAUGUCAUGUAGCGGUGAAAUGCUUAGAUAUGACAUAGAACACCAAUUGCGCAGGCAGCUUACUACACAGUAAUUGACACUGAGGCACGAAAGCGUGGGGAUCAAACAGGAUUAGAUACCCUGGUAGUCCACGCCCUAAACGAUGGAUACUCGACAUUAGCGAUAAACGGUUAGUGUCUGAGCGAAAGCAUUAAGUAUCCCACCUGGGAAGUACGAUCGCAAGAUUAG
rnacentral:rRNA from 1 species